AAUGCCCCAACUGGUCCUCGUGGCGGGCGCAACGAAGCCGCUGCAGCGUCUCGUGCAUCACGAGAGAUGUUCCAGCCUACACCUGGACCACGCGCUCAGGAUCCCAACUAUGGAAGAUUGAACCAGCCUUCGGAGCCGGCACCACCAUCGGGCCCACGCAGUGACAGGCCACAUGCGCCGUCGCAGCCUUCCACACCGAAUGCACCCACCGGUCCCG
rnacentral:misc_RNA from 1 species